rnacentral:rRNA from 1 species
GACGAACGCUGGCGGCGUGCUUAACACAUGCAAGUCGAACGGAAAGGCCCUGCUUUUGUGGGGUGCUCGAGUGGCGAACGGGUGAGUAACACGUGAGUAACCUGCCCUUGACUUUGGGAUAACUUCAGGAAACUGGGGCUAAUACCGGAUAGGAGCUCCUGCUGCAUGGUGGGGGUUGGAAAGUUUCGGCGGUUGGGGAUGGACUCGCGGCUUAUCAGCUUGUUGGUGGGGUAGUGGCUUACCAAGGCUUUGACGGGUAGCCGGCCUGAGAGGGUGACCGGCCACAUUGGGACUGAGACACGGCCCAGACGCCUACGGGAGGCAGCAGUGGGGAAUAUUGCACAAUGGGCGGAAGCCUGAUGCAGCAACGCCGCGUGCGGGAUGACGGCCUUCGGGUUGUAAACCGCUUUCGCCUGUGACGAAGCGUGAGUGACGGUAAUGGGUAAAGAAGCACCGGCUAACUACGUG